ACGAACGCUGGCGGCUGCUUAACACAUGCAAGUCGAACGGAGUGGCGAACGGGUGCGUAACGCGUGAGCAACCUGCCUAUGACAGUGGGAUAGCCUCGGGAAACCGGGAUUAAUACCGCAUAGUCAUAGAUGGGCUCGCGUCUGAUUAGCUAGUUGGUGAGAUAACAGCCCACCAAGGCGACGAUCAGUCGCCGGUCUUGGAGGAUGAACGGCAACAUUGGAACUGAGACACGGUCCAAACUCCUACGGGAGGCAGCAGUGGGGAAUAUGGCACAAGGGGGGAAACCCUGAUGCAGCGACGACGCGUGAACGAAGAAGGUAUUCGUAUCGUAAAGGUCUGACCUAUGGGAAGCGGUACCAUAGAAGAAAGCUCCGGCUAAAUACGUGACAGCCGCCGCGGUAAUUC
rnacentral:rRNA from 1 species